CACGUAGGGUGCGAGCGUUGUCCGGAAUUAUUGGGCGUAAAGAGCUCGUAGGCGGUCUGUCGCGUCUGCUGUGAAAACUCAGGGCUUAACCCUGAGCUUGCAGUGGGUACGGGCAGACUAGAGUGCGGUAGGGGAGACUGGAAUUCCUGGUGUAGCGGUGAAAUGCGCAGAUAUCAGGAGGAACACCGGUGGCGAAGGCGGGUCUCUGGGCCGAGUACUGACGCUGGAGGAG
rnacentral:rRNA from 1 species